GGCAGCAUCGUGACGUGAAGCACGGUGGUGGCAGCAUCAUGACGUGAAGCACAGUGGUGGCAGCAUCAUGACGUGAAGCACAGUGGUGGCAGCAUCAUGACGUGAAGCACAGUGGUGGCAGCAUCAUGACGUGAAGCACAGUGGUGGCAGCAUCCUGACGUGAAGCACGGUGGUGGCAGCAUCAUGAUGUGAAGCACGGUGGUGGCAGCAUCGUGA